GACAGAGGAUGCAAGCGUUAUCCGGAAUGAUUGGGCGUAAAGCGUCUGUAGGUGGCUUUUUAAGUCCGCCGUCAAAUCCCAGGGCCUCAACCCUGGACAGGCGGUGGAAACUACCAAGCUGGAGUACGGUAGGGGCAGAGGGAAUUUCCGGUGGAGCGGUGAAAUGCGUAGAGAGUGUGGAGGAAUACCGAUGGCGAAGGCAGCCCCCUGGGAU
rnacentral:rRNA from 1 species